UACGUAGGGGGCAAGCGUUGUCCGGAAUCAUUGGGCGUAAAGAGCGUGUAGGCGGCCAGAUAAGUCCGCUGUGAAAUCUCGAGGCUCAACUUCGAGCUGUCGGUGGAAACUGUCUGGCUAGAGUCCGGAAGAGGAGAAUGGAAUUCCUGGUGUAGCGGUGAAAUGCGCAGAUAUCAGGAAGAACACCCGUGGCGAAGGCGGCCCCCUGGACCGGUACUGACGCUGAGGCGCGAAAGCGUGGGUAGCAAACGGG
rnacentral:rRNA from 1 species